GGCGGUCAGUCUCCUGAGACCUGCGGAAGGAUCAUUAU
rnacentral:rRNA from 1 species